AGAACAAGCCAUUUAUAAAAAUUUUGUUUUUUAUAUAUAGAUAGACAGAUAAUUUUCAACAAUUCUUCAUAGCGCUUAGCGCAUCACCUAAUUCUGUGAUGAGCAAGCCUAAAAAAAAAUUAGGAAUAAGAACAUGUAUGAAAACUAAAAAGGGUUUUAUACUUUAGGAACUACAUACAUCAAAAACAUUUAUUCAAAACCAAAUCUCACGACCAAACCUCGCAAUAAAGCUGGAUAAUCAGGAUUAGCGAUUUUUUGUUUUCCUGAGACCCGGAGUGUCUGUGUCAAGACCAAGAAGGGAAAAUACCAGACGCGCCGAUCACCUAUUUUUCGGAUAAGCUACUGACUGACUCAGAUGAAUUUUUUGAAAAAUUAAAAAACAGAAAAAAAUUGUGUUCAACUAAAUAAUGAAAAAUAAAUAAUAGUUUAAAAAAACUCAAAAAAUACGCUUUUAUAGAACUUCAACUAAAACAUAGAAAAAAAAUGAUUUUAUUGUCAAAAAGGCGUGGGGUGCAUGCUAUCAAUAGUUAUAAAUAUUUUGAUAAUAUCCUGAAAAGCACACCACGCUUUUUUUACAAUAAAAUAUUUUUUCUUCCACUAUUUUUAAUACAAAUUUAAUAAAAUUUAUUUUCUAUUUUUA